rnacentral:rRNA from 1 species
AACGAACGCUGGCGGCGUGCCUAACACAUGCAAGUCGAACGAGACCUUCGGGUCUAGUGGCGCACGGGUGCGUAACGCGUGGGAACCUGCCUUUAGGUUCGGAAUAACUCAGAGAAAUUUGAGCUAAUACCGGAUAAUGUCUUCGGACCAAAGAUUUAUCGCCUUUAGAUGGGCCCGCGUUGGAUUAGCUAGUUGGUGGGGUAAAGGCCUACCAAGGCGACGAUCCAUAGCUGGUCUGAGAGGAUGAUCAGCCACACUGGGACUGAGACACGGCCCAGACUCCUACGGGAGGCAGCAGUGGGGAAUAUUGGACAAUGGGCGCAAGCCUGAUCCAGCAAUACCGCGUGUGUGAAGAAGGCCUUCGGGUUG